rnacentral:rRNA from 1 species
GGGAGGCAGCAGUGAGGAAUAUUGGUCAAUGGACGAGAGUCUGAACCAGCCAAGUAGCGUGAAGGAUGACUGCCUAUGGGUUGUAAACUUCUUUUAUACGGGAAUAAGUGAGGCACGUGUGCCUUUUUGUAUGUACCGUAUGAAUAAGGAUCGGCUAACUCCGUGCCAGCAGCCGCGGUAAUACGGAGGAUCCGAGCGUUAUCCGGAUUUAUUGGGUUUAAAGGGAGCGUAGGCGGACGCUUAAGUCAGUUGUGAAAGUUUGCGGCUCAACCGUAAAAUUGCAGUUGAUACUGGGUGUCUUGAGUACAGUAGAGGCAGGCGGAAUUCGUGGUGUAGCGGUGAAAUGCUUAGAUAUCACGAAGAACUCCGAUUGCGAAGGCAGCUUGCUGGACUGUAACUGACGCUGAUGCUCGAAAGUGUGGGU